rnacentral:lncRNA from 1 species
ACAUCCCAGGACGGCAGAAUAAUGCGGAGGUUUUCUACUAUAGAUUAAAACCAACCAACAGGGAAUUUUCCGAGUCUGGCAGCCACAGCUUUCUCUUCAGACAUCUUUUCCUCCAGCCAUGCGGACAGGGGAAGGUAGAUGCUUGCCAUCUACCAAGUAUGGUGAGAGUUUGAAAAGAGGCAGACAUAAGGAAGAGUCAAGGAAGAAAAAUGCCUCAGAAAUCCAAGAGGGGGUCGUGCUUUGGCUUUUGCUCCUUCAGCAGACUCACAGAAAAUUCUGGGAGGCCCAGGACAGAGGAAAUCAAAGGCAUACUUGGAAGGAGAUUGAGAAUAUUCUGGAAUGCAUUCUCUGGGGCCGGGGCCAGCUCCCCAUGAAAAGCCUUCAUAAGUCCCUCCUCCUCUUCCCCAGCUCCUCUGAAAGAAAGAAAGAAAGGAAGGAAGGAAGAAGGAAGGAAGGAAGAAGGAAGGAAGGAAGGAAGGAAGGAAGGAAGAAGGAAGGAAGAAAGAAAGAAAGAAAGAAAGAAAGAAAGAAAGAAAGAAAGAAAGAAAGAAAGAAAGAAAGAAAGAAAGAAAGAAAAAUGGUGAGAAGCGCAAUAAAAUCAGUAGGUGACAUUGCUAUUAAUCCCAGGACUCUCGCACAUAGAACAAUUUAA